GGGCGUAUUGCCUUUUGUCCAGUCAUGGGAAGCGUGUCGCUUGUCCGUAGUUAAAUUUCUUUAAUUUCGUGAUACGAGCCAAAGACGGACCCGACCCGAUUAUCGAUCACUGCGUCACUAGGUCAAAUCGGGUCACGUGGCCAUUGCGAGGAAGGUUGCAGUUAUCAGCCGAACAUUUCUAGGGACUGAAAUGAGAAUCCGCCGGCAGAAUGGCUCUGUGAAUAGGCCCAGGUCUGAGCGAUUUGUCUCUUUUACCUUUAUCGCUCGCUUUCUUAUCAACACGUCAUACCACUCACGGGGACUUGUCUGAAGACGACUUCCAUUCAAACUUUCGUCAGGUUUGUUGGGAAAUCUUCAGCAUUUAUUCUUUUCCAUUGCCAAUUUCUCAAAAUCUUUAAUGUGCCUCAUUUUUUUUCGAAGUGAAAUUGAAUACUGUGAGCACCCCUUGAAAAUAUACAUAUUCAUGUGACUGGAAAUACAUCCUCUGCGUUUUAUCUUCAUUAUCAUUCAAAAAUAUAUAUUUUAUCAGGUAUUCAAUCAUUAGUCCUCAUUGGAUCCGCGUAUUUCUACUAAUAUAGGAUUUAUCUCAGAGGCUUAUCGUUUUCCCAUUAGCUGUUGUACGCUUUCUUUCGUGAUAUUAAGACCGCAGUCUCCAAACUUGCUUAUGGGAGAUUACAAAGGGAACCUAUGAAUAUUCCAAUGAAAUAUCUCUCCGAAGGAUGUCGGGGAAAAUACCUUCCUAAAAGAUUGUGUUAGUUGUAUGGCUGCAGUUAAGUGUGCCAAAGCAAUAUAAUGUAUUGUAUACAUGUAGUGGAAUUGAAACGAUAUGCAGUGUGUAACAUUAAAAUAUUUGUUGUGCUAAUAAUACACUUACAUUAUCAGAUUAAUUCACAUUCGGUUAAGUAAAAAAAUUAAAAAAAUCAAUAUAAAAUAACUGGCGGAGCUGGGUGUACAGGCCAGGGCAACUAU